GAUUGGGGUUUCUGUGAAGCAGCAGUUUACCGAGGAAGAAAUAUACAAAGACAGGGACAGCCAGAUCACAGCCAUUGAGAAGACUUUUGAGGAUGCCCAGAAAUCAGUAAUUGAGGGACUGGGAUGGGGAGAGGCAAGGGUGUGGCUGCAGAGCUCCUCCUCACCCUGUUUUUGUCCCACCAGAUCUCCCAGCAUUACAGCAAACCCCGAGUCACACCGGUGGAGGUCAUGCCUGUUUUCCCAGACUUUAAGGUCAGGCCCAAGGUGGGAGGUAGAAAGAGACAGCCUAUUUGUGCCUGUUCCCAUCUAACCCCAGUGCCUCCAUCUCCUUAGAUGUGGAUCAAUCCAUGUGCUCAG
rnacentral:sRNA from 1 species